GAUUCUUUCAACCCUGUUAAAGUGUAAAUAUCCCUGUGAGGGUAUUAACUUUUCUUCAUCAUUGGGUGAUUGUGAAAGCAGAAAGGAAAGCAGAACACCACAGAUGACCGUGGUUCUGGUUACAGCUCUGCCCCUGGAUUUCUGUGACCGUGAGCAUAGCGCCUCUGAAUUUCCAUGGCCUGGUCUGUACCAAAUGGGCUGAGCUGGAAGAUCUCUAAUGUUCCUUUUAGGUUCUGCUUUCUAUGAGUUUAUGAGGAAAGACUGUGUGGGCAGGAUCAUUUUUAGAAUGAGUUCUGUGGAAAGCUGAAUAAAUGAACAGGGCCAUUUGACAGAGUGUAACCCAUACCAGCCCCAUUGUGCAAUGCCUUGAACAUGAGGAACUUAAGGCUUAGAAAGCUUAAGCAACUUCCUCGCCGUUACUGCUGUACCGAGAGGCAGAGAGAACCAGGGUUGAAAGCCAGAUGAGGCAUCGCCAAAGACCAAGCCCUUGUCCUCUCUACUACACAGCAUCUCAGGGCUGGAGAAUUCCAUGCUUUGCCGGAAAUGUCAAGACCCCAAAUUGAUCUUAAACACCACUUGAUUUUCAAAGAAUAUCUGCCCCAGGUCAAUAAAUAAUCAGUGAGUGAGCAAGCACAGCAAUGACCCUGUUCUGAGGACAGCAAUCAGAAAGUCUUAUUCCUUAAAAUGGAAGGAGCUCACCUUGGCCACCAGACAUCAAGAUAUGGGGAUAGCUCAUUAGGCACCAAAAGUGAGUUCAUACGCAGAAGACUAAGAAAGAUUCUUCAAACUCCCCACUCCUUGUCCGGUUAAAUCAAAAGGACGCUCCUGUGUGCCCAGGAUUUUCAUAAUAUCUAUGCUAUUUCUUUUGAGGGUGAUCAAAAUUUCACUGUGUUGGACUCAAGACUCAGAAAAGAGCACAGUAGAAAUCGAGGAGUGUGUUUUCUGUUUGGUCAGCAAGGCAGGCAAGGCCUUAUGUACUCUGUCCAUCAACACUGAUAAGCUGUGACACCAGGAGGCUAGGAAGAUGUCCAGCUGUUCCACCUACGCUGCAUCACAGAGCUCCAUGAGCCCUUUCAGGAAGCGGAGCCCAAACAGAGAAAGACGAGUGAGUGCCAUGAACACAAAUAAUCUUCGGCUCAAAUGGAGUUUCCUGAAUUCUUUGGUAUUCCAUAUAUUUUGAACUUCAAGAGACCUUCAUUUUCUGGGUUUCUUCCUUGUAGCUCAAGAGCACGUGUUUUAAUUCUCUCAGUCGGCACAGCUUCUUAUAAAGGCCUUCCUCAAAAAGAGUCAACAGGUUAAGAAAACUAGUCAAAACUAGAACAAGAUAAUAAUAGUUUUCUAAGAAAUAAAAAUUUUCCUUUGAUUUCUUAAGUAUAUUUGUGGUUUCAAUAGUAUUCUAUGUAUUUUAUUCAAUUGUGAAGACUAUUGACAAUUAUAACUAAUAAGAUUUAUGUGCGUUACAAUUUACAAAUAUACAGAUGUCUAUUACAAGAUUUAUAUUUGUUCACUAGGUUCUUAUCUGA